UACGUAGGGAGCAAGCGUUGUUCGGAUUUACUGGGCGUAAAGGGCGCGUAGGCGGCCAGCGCAAGUCAGUUGUGAAAUCUCCGGGCUUAACUCGGAACGGUCAACUGAUACUGCGCGGCUAGAGUGCAGAAGGGGCAACUGGAAUUCCCGGUGUAGCGGUGAAAUGCGCAGAUAUCGGGAGGAACACCUAUGGCGAAGGCAGCUCGCUGGGACGUUACUGACGCUGAGACGCGAAAGCGUGGGGAGCAAACAGG
rnacentral:rRNA from 1 species